CAGAGGGCAUGACACCACCAGGAAAGCCACUUCACUGGGUUCUCAGACACUCAGGGCACUGCAGACUCAGACUUGAAGCCUGACUGCCAGCCCAAGGUCGCGGGAGACGAUCUGGACCCCACAACCUCCAUUGUGCUGCUCCUUCUCCAAGAGCCAGCUUCCUCUUCUGGAAGAUGAAAAAACUAAGACAAAAGGAAAUAAAGAGACUUGCUGAAGACCACAUGGCUGGGAGAUAGCCGAGUCCCGGGCAGCCUGAAUCUAACAUUCCACGGUCUUUCCACCAUGUUAACCUACAGAUGUUUCUCCGUCACACAUUCCACCACUGAGCUGCCCUCCCUGACAAGCCAUCUCCUCGCUAACAUCUCUGCUGCC
ensembl:lncRNA